rnacentral:rRNA from 1 species
UACAGAGGGUGCAAGCGUUAAUCGGAAUUACUGGGCGUAAAGCGUGCGUAGACGGUCAUGUAAGUCGGGUGUGAAAGCCCCGGGCUCAACCUGGGAAUUGCAUUCGAGACUGCAUGGCUAGGAUGCGGAAGAGGGAAGCGGAAUUUCCGGUGUAGCGGUGAAAUGCGUAGAUAUCGGAAGGAACACCAGUGGCGAAAGCGGCUUCCUGGUCCAGCAUCGACGUUCAGGCA